rnacentral:rRNA from 1 species
UACGUAGGGGGCAAGCGUUGUUCGGAAUGACUGGGCGUAAAGGGUGCGUAGGCGGAGUGUCAAGUCAGCGGUAAAAUUUCGGGGCUCAACCUCGUCGUGCCGUUGAAACUGACACCCUUGAGUGAGUGAGAAGUAAGCGGAAUGCGUGGUGUAGCGGUGAAAUGCAUAGAUAUCACGCAGAACGCCGAUUGCGAAGGCAGCUUACCGGCGCUCAACUGACGCUGAGGCACGAAAGUGCGGGUAUCGAACAGG